rnacentral:rRNA from 1 species
CCUACGGGUGGCAGCAGUGAGGAAUAUUGGUCAAUGGGCUUACGCCUGAACCAGCCAAGUCGCGUGAGGGAAGACUGCCCUAUGGGUUGUAAACCUCUUUUGUCAGGGAGCAAUUGGCGCUACGUGUAGCGUUAUCGAGAGUACCUGAAGAAAAAGCAUCGGCUAACUCCGUGCCAGCAGCCGCGGUAAUACGGAGGAUGCGAGCGUUAUCCGGAUUUAUUGGGUUUAAAGGGUGCGUAGGCGGAAUGCCAAGUCAGCGGUGAAAGUCCGCGGCUCAACCGUGGAAUUGCAGUUGAAACUGGAGGCCUUGAGUGCACACAGGGAUGCCGGAAUUCAUGGUGUAGCGGUGAAAUGCUUAGAUAUCAUGAAGAACUCCGAUCGCGAAGGCAAGUGGCCGGGGUGCAACUGACGCUGAGGCUCGAAAGUGCGGGUAUCAAACAGGAUUAGAUACCCUUGUAGUC